rnacentral:rRNA from 1 species
GAUGAACGCUGGCGGCGUGCUUAACACAUGCAAGUCGAACGGAAAGGCUCCUGCUUGCAGGGGUACUCGAGUGGCGAACGGGUGAGUAACACGUGGGUGAUCUGCCCUGCACUUCGGGAUAAGCCUGGGAAACUGGGUCUAAUACCGGAUAGGACGAUGGUUUGGAUGCCAUUGUGGAAAGUUUUUUCGGUGUGGGAUGAGCUCGCGGCCUAUCAGCUUGUUGGUGGGGUAAUGGCCUACCAAGGCGUCGACGGGUAGCCGGCCUGAGAGGGUGUACGGCCACAUUGGGACUGAGAUACGGCCCAGACUCCUACGGGAGGCAGCAGUGGGGAAUAUUGCACAAUGGGCGCAAGCCUGAUGCAGCGACGCCGCGUGGGGGAUGACGGCCUUCGGGUUGUAAACUCCUUUCGCUAGGGACGAAGCGCAAGUGACGGUACCUGGAGAAGAAGCACCGGCUAACUACG